UACAGAGGUCUCAAGCGUUGUUCGGAUUCAUUGGGCGUAAAGGGUGCGUAGGCGGCGCGGUAAGUCGGGUGUGAAAUCUCGGGGCUUAACUCCGAAACUGCAUUCGAUACUGCCGUGCUUGAGGACUGGAGAGGAGACUGGAAUUUACGGUGUAGCGGUGAAAUGCGUAGAUAUCGUAAGGAAGACCAGUGGCGAAGGCGGGUCUCUGGACAAUUCCUGACGCUGAGGCACGAAGGCCAGGGGAGCAAACGGG
rnacentral:rRNA from 1 species